UGCGGAGUAUUUCAGAGUUGGUGGCAUGCUGAACACUGCGGUUGCUUCUGUAGGAAUUUUUCUUCUUCAUUCGAGAUACCAAAAUUCUUCUAAGAUGGUGGCUCCAUUUCAUAUUUGGCAAUCUAUCUAGAAGGGGUCCUUUGAUAAUAGGCACUUGAUCAGAUUUUUCUCUGCCUAUGCCGAUGAGCCGCUGGAUAAGAAGGAUAUUGUACUCUUUGGUGUCUUUGACCCUCCAGCUACCAGGGAAGGUGCGGGGCACUAUUGCAUAGUUGCGCUAAACAUUAAGCAUAGUCGUUUUGAGCUGCUUGAUUCUUGGCACCUUCCCGGUAGUGAGAGUGGCAUAAGGGUCAUAAACAGGAUGGCGAAGAACAUUAAGCAGCUUUGGAGGAAUGGCUCGUCUGAGCGCAAGAAGAAGAAGUUGGAUCCGGCAAACAUUGACCAUUUCCGUUUGCACCAUGCCGUUGUGCCCCAGCAGGAAAACCCUACCGACUGUGGUUUUUUCAUGAAUGAACUGCUGGAGACAUAUGAUGGUGAGAGUUAUGCUG